rnacentral:rRNA from 1 species
UACGAAGGGGGCUAGCGUUGCUCGGAAUCACUGGGCGUAAAGCGCACGUAGGCGGAUUUUUAAGUCAGGGGUGAAAUCCUGGAGCUCAACUCCAGAACUGCCUUUGAUACUGGGAAUCUAGAGUCCGGAAGAGGUGAGUGGAACUCCGAGUGUAGAGGUGAAAUUCGUAGAUAUUCGGAAGAACACCAGUGGCGAAGGCGACUCACUGGCCCGUUACUGACGCUGAGGCGCGAAAGCGUGGGGAGCAAACAGG